GUGUUUGUGAGGACUGAUUUUACAUGGAACAACUUCACCCCCCCACUUCUACUGAAAGUGGUACCACCCAUUCUUCCUCCUCAGCAUUUGAUUGCCUCAUUCUGUUGCCCGACAUUGGGGUGGCUGGAUGAUGGGGGUUGUUUUCAUUUUAUUUUGUAGAAAUCUUAAGGCAGGAAUGCUGCUUACUUGGAUCCAGAAUGUUACAAGAAACUGUGCUGGGCUGGUGAAAUCUGGCAUGGCCUAGUUUCAACCAGUCUUGGUUCCAUGUCACUGGUGGUCCCUGAGGGGAAUGCUGUUCAUUUCGAGAAUAAAACCCCGGAAAGGAUGGGCUGUCCUGCAGAUCCAACAAUUACAGCCCAGAAUGACAGAAAACACGCUAAGGGUAUUUGGUGUCUCCUACUCUUACCAGUAAAAAGACAUCUCGCAGCUUUUCUACCUUUUCUUCCUCAACAAGUAUGACAGACAGCGGUAAAACAAAGACAGAAGUUUGUGGGAACACACAGGGACCCCAAAAGUUGCACCCAGCUUACAUUGGUUCCUCUGCUCUUCAAUACCUGGAAUAGUCAUCUUCAGUAAAUAUUUGUUUGCUCCAGAUUGUACUCACUUCCUGCAUCCUCUCUCUUCACCUCAAAAAAAGGCCAUUGCUUCAAACUGACAUCUGGGAACCAGAAAUAGAUCCAGGCAGAACUUCUUGGAUGGGGAGGCUGGGUAUCAACAGCUCAGCUAGGAACGCCAUGGGAAUCUAUUCUGGUUGCAAAAAAGGUCUAGACCCUGCUGUGACCCUGAGACGUUUGAGUGGGGCAUUGGACAGUAAUGACAUCCAACUUCAAGAAGUAGCAGAAAUUUUGCUGCCAUCUGACAGUGAAUGAGCACAGUCUCAAUCCCCGUGGCUAAAAUGCCAAUUUUGCAUUUUGCAGAAGGCAAGAACAAAAAGAAGAAGCCACACCUCUUGGCUACAAAAACAAAAAAACUGUGGUACAGAGAGAGUAUGUCUUCCUUACUUUUGAGCCUGGUAUGAAAAAGCUACACUGGACAGAAAGCAUGUAGGAUGAAAAAGCACAGUGUGUGGACUACAGAACCCCAAGCUUUUAAAAUAAAAUGUUCUCCCAUUCUGGACAUCACUGGCUCUUUUAU